GCAGCCUUAUCGGUGGAUCACU
rnacentral:rRNA from 2 species